GGAGGUAGUGACAAUAAAUCUCAAUACGAAGCCUUUGGUUUUGUAAUUGAAUUGAGAACAAUGUACAAUCGUUAUCGAUAAACAAUUGGAGGGCAAGUCUGGUGCCAGCAGCCGCGGUAAUUCCAGCUCCAAUAGCGUAUAUUAACGUUGUUGCAGUUAAAAAGCUCGUAGUUGAAGUUUAGGUGGUUUGAAGGGGGUGUUAGUAUUCGUACUAUCUGCUCUCUUUGGAUUAUCGACUUCCAGGUAAGUAUAAUGUACCUUUCGGGGUUCGUUAUACCAGACUGGUCUUUUACUGUGAGAAAAUUAGAGUGUUUAAAGCAGACUUUUAUUUAGUUUGAAUAGAUUAGCAUGGAAUAAUAAGAUUGGCUUUCAUAGUCGAUUUUUUGGUUUGUUUAUGAAAGCAAGAUUAAUAGGGACAGUUGGGGGUAUUCAUAUUCAAUAGCUAGAGGUGAAAUUCUAUGAUUUAUGGAAGAUGAACAAGUGCGAAAGCA
rnacentral:rRNA from 1 species